GUCGAUUCCUAGCCGUUGAGAGUUGUGUCUAGCUAACUAAUUGGGGUUUUUCAAAGGAUUGUUGUGUUUUGAGCUGCAAAUCUAUGGUUUCGUGGAAAUGGUGACAAAGAAUUACUGUUUAAAUUGUGAUUUGAGUCGUUGUAUCGGAUGAUGUAGUGUCGUGAGUGACGUGAAAAUCUUGGUACCGACGGGUACCGUAACAAUGGUGACUUUAAUGCCUUGCAACUAUCUGAACGCACAAACUCCUAGGUGCACAAUGAUUGAUAAGAUGUGUGAGCCAAAGGUCAAGAGGUCAAGAGCAGAAGGCGAGCCAUCAUCA